GGACUGGGAGGAUUGCCCCUCUAUCUGAUCUCUCUGAUCUCUCGUCAUCCCCAAAGAAUGACAAGGGACGUCGAGAUCAGGGUGUUCCAGACACUCGGGGCAGCAUGGAAGGAACUCAAGGUGAAGCUGGGAAAAGGAAACACAAAUAUGCAAAGGAGACUUUCAUUACAUCAACAGAAUGGUGUUGGAUGCUUGAGAUCCCAAGGGCUGCCAGAGCUCCCAGUACCAGAAAGCAAAACUCUUUUCCUCUUUUCCAAGGUGUGUCUCCUGCACCUUCUAUUCAAAAAAUUUCAAUGCCAACUGGCACAAGAAAAUAACUAUUUAAAAGGCCCAUGUCCCUUUUCAAAAAGCAGUCUAAUAGGGGGAAUUGGGGGUUGAGAACUGUAUUAGGGGGAAAAAAACUUUUUCAUUGUGUGUGUCUUUACUACUCACACAGAACACUUUACUUCUGACAUUUCUGGCCACCAAAUCUGUGGCAGUUUCCCCCCACCAACUGCACUAGCUGAAUGUCCUAGAGUUGAAAACAAUUGUGACACUAGCUCUCUGGAGAUAGCAUCAGAUUGCACAGGUUACUAGGACUCAGUCCCUUAAGACUGCUCCCAUUUCAGAUACCAGUGGAAGUUAGUAGGUCCCCAUCGUUACACACAUACAUAAACAGAAGACAUAGUUCAGUAGAUUGUUGGAAACUAAAAGUUAAAUAAAUAUGCUACAUUUGUAAAUACACUCACAAAGAGACAUAGAAUGCCUUUUAUAGAUUAACAAGUAGACUCUAUAGAGCUGAGAAAACAAGUAAUAAACUUGAAGGUAGGCCUAGAAAUUACCCAAGAUGAAACACCAAGAAAAAAACAGACAAAAAGAGCUCAAAGAGUUAUUGAUUAAUAUAUGUGUAGGCAGAAUCCCAAAGGGAGAGAGAGAGGGAGAGAGAGGAGAAAAGGACAGAAAGAAAUAUUUGAAGAGUUAAUGGCUGAGUAUUUUCCCAAGAUAAUGAAAUACAAGUAUCACCCACUUUUCAAAAUCCACGUUGCUGCCACUUCAUUUUUAGGAAAGACCUACGUUAGUACCUGUUUUUGCAAAGGGAAAGAAAUUGAAAGAGGAUUUUUGCUUUUAUGAAGAUGAAAAGUGAAAAUAGCUCUCAACAAUUGUUUUUAAGGGAGCCGUUAGAGAG
rnacentral:lncRNA from 9 species